UGGCUUUUCCUGCAUCCCUUUUUGUGGGAGAUGAGUGAAGACAAAUGCUGUGAAGAUGUUUUAGGGAUGCCGUCAGGAGUCUUUCUGCCCCAGGAACCUGCAUGUUUCCCAGGGACCGACGGCAGGAGUGAGCCAGGAAGAGUCAUCCCUUGGGCCUUAUCUUGUGACCGAAGGAAAUCAAGGCUCUAAGUGUGCCAUAACUUGAGUCCCUUGGAAAACAUUUCAUUAACAUGUCCAGUUCCGUGUGAAAACAGAAAAAUUCCAAGCAUCUUUGUAUUAUUUCUUCACCUCCUUCUGAAAUACAUGGGUUGAUGAACUUUAGCUUUGGGAAAGACCGCAGCAAACCUGGUCACUCUUACCUACAAAACAGCUUCUCAAAUAAUUAGAAAUAUAUUUCAAGGAUCGAUAUUAAGGGAUUCAUAUCCUUCAUUCAAGGUAUGUUUUCUGAGCGCUUCCUCUGCGUCAAGAGCAAAGACCUCAGCUUUCGCCCCGGCUGGGAGAGCCAGACACUAAACAACGGCAUCAGUAAAUAUUUACUAUGUUAUGUUGGAGGAGCUACAAAGGAAAGGAAAGGAAGGAAGGGAAUAAAAUCUUGCUGGGGUAAGAGUGAGUAGAAAUUUAAAAUCAGAUGACGUAUUAGUUAGCUAGUGUCAUGUCAUAAAUCACCCACAAAAUGCAGUGGCUUAAAAUGGUAGCAUGUUUAUUGCUGUCAUGUUUAUUGGUUGGCUGAGUAGUCCUCUUAAUAUGGGCCAAGCUUGAUUGAUCUUGAUUGAUCUUGGCUGGCUUGCUUGUGUGUUUAAGGUUAGCCGACAGGUCAACUGGGUGCUCGUGAUAUAGAAAGGCUCACAUUUCUUCCAUAUUUUUCACAUUUCUGUGGUUGGCUGACCAUCAGCCGGUGCUGUCUGGGUGACCGGUCCUCCUGUCUCUCAGCAUCUGGCAAACUAAUCCCAACUUUCUAUGACAGUUAGCAGGGUCUCAAGUGAGAAAGUAAAAGCACAUAAGGCAUCUUGAAGCCUAACCUUAGUACUGACACAAUGUCCCCUUUGAUGUGUUCAUGUAUUCUAAUGCUUGAUGCGGUUGAUCCCAUUGAAGGAGAGGGUAAGUAGGUCCUAGCUCUUGAUAGGAGGAACUGCAAAGUUACAUCGCAGAAAGCACUGGUAAAGGGAAGGAUCAAGAAUACGGGAGCCGUUUUUGCAAUCAGUCUACUAUAGAUGGUCAUGGAAGGUUGCACUGAGAAAGCUUCACUUAAUGAUUUCAUGUGGUGAGGAAAGGAACCCUAGGAAUAUUUCCAGACAAUAGUGGUGUAGUUGGUUCCAGUUCGAGGAAACAGCGCAUUUCUGAGGCGGGGAUGUGAUCAGCAUGCUGGGGAAGUAAAAGGAGGCCAGUGUUGCUGCAGUGGGGUGUGCUAGGGGGAGGGUAGUGCAGAUGAGAAGGAGGCCACCUUCUAUAGGAUUUGGUGGGCUCCUCUAAGGACUUGGCUUUUAUUUGGAAUGAUGUGGUGAGUGGGAGAGUUUUGAACAGAGCAGGGCAUGAUUUGAUACGUAGUUCAACAGGAUCCCUCUGGGAGGCAAGACUGGAAAGAUAGCGGUUGGGAGGCCGUUGCUGUCAUCCAGGCUAGAGAGGGUGACAGCUUGGGUCUGUGGCAGUGGCAGUGAAGGAGGCGAGGAGUGAUAUAUUUUGAAGAUAGAGAUGCCCAUAUGCUGAUGGUUUUUAUAAGGAGUGUGAGAAAAAGAGAGGUCUCAGAGUGACUCCAGAGUUUUUCUCUGAGUACUAGAAGGGUGGAGUUGCCAUCUGCUUGGAUAGAGAAGACUGUGGGAAGAGUGGAUUUGAGGAGGAAGAUCAGGAAUUUGGUUUUGGGCAUUUUAAGUUUGAGAUGCGUAUUAGACUCCCACGUGCAGCUGUCAAGUAGACCAUUGGAUAUAUGAGUCUAGAGUUCACGGAGAGAAUUGGACUGGGGAGCUUGGAAUAUGAUAACCAAUGGAAUGAGCAUUGACUAGAUCAGAGGCCCAAGGGCUGAGUUCUGAGGCAGUGGAGAUGAAGAGGAACCAGUAAAGGAGUCUGUGAAGGAGCAGUCGAUGGAAGACCAGCAAGAUAGUGGGAUGCCCUGGAGUUCAGAGCAAAAGGUAUAUUAAGGGGGAGUGUGUUGUCAACGUGUUAAAUGGUGCUGCUGGGUCUAGUGAGAUGAGGACUGGCAUGUGGCCGUCAGACUUGGCAAUGUGGAGGUCACUAAUGACCUUGAGAAGAGCAGUUUCAAUGAGAUGAUGGAGGUAAACGCUUGAAUGUAGAAAGCUCAAGAAAGAAUAGGGAUAGAAGAUCUGGGAAUGGUGACUGUAGACAGCUGUUUCAGUGAGCUUUAUGGUGAAGGAGAAAAGUGAAACAGACUAUAACUGGAGGGAGAUGUGAUGUCAGGGAGUUUUUUAAAAAGAUGUUUGCGUAUUGAUGGGAAUGAUGCUUAAGAGAGGAGAACAUUGGUAACUCAGGGAAGAGGGAGAAGUGCCAAGCGAUACUGUUGAGGAGGUAAGAGGUAUGGGAUCAGAGGGAGUGGCCUCAGAUGGGAGGGCUGGCUGCCUCUCUACAGUGUUGGGAAGGAAGGCGGAGUGUGGCGAUGAUACCCAUAUCAGCGGAUCAGAAGACGGAUGGGCAACCCGGGGACGUUCUCUUCUGAGCCCCUCUCUUGACCUAGGAAAUAGGAAAUGGGGUACUUGGCUUUAAGUUAGGAUGGAGGAAGAGCUGUUAGAACUUGAAGAAAGAUGGAAAGAGAAAGAGUGAAGACUGACUAGAACAGGGAAAUGAAGUAUGAUUGUGGGGCAGGAAGAAGGGCCCUCAGGAAGUGAGUGGUCAUGAAUCAAAGUUGGAGAAGUCAGGACUGCUGUGUGUUUUCCGCCAGCAGGCAUGUGGAGGGUUGGGACUUUGCUACAUGAAAUGAAAUAAUGGAAGGCUGAAGAAGUUCUUGUGUAUAAGGGAGUCAUUAUAAAGAAGGAUCAGGGAAUUUAAGCUGAGGAAGAAGGGAAAUGAGACCAUGAACGGCUUAGCGACAGAGAAAAUGUAGAAAGGUCAGUAGAUUUGUUAAAAGCUAAUUUUCAGAAAACAGUAAAAUUAUGACUCUCACGGAGAUAUAGUAAUGAUGAACACAUGUUAAAUUAUUUUACUCACGUGGUAUGAGGGAACUAGGAAGAUGUAACUGGUUCAAAGGAAAAGUAAAAACACACAGAUGUAUAUGGAGUAAAGGAAUGAACUGCAGAUAGAGGCAAGCUGGUUUUCCAAGGUGAGGUAAGAAGUCAAUUAAAUCACUACUAGACAGGACAGAAUCAUCCAUCUAUCAGUUACCAACAAUUUAUAGAGAGUUGCAAGAUAGCUCAAAGACAAUGACCGGGGUGGACUCUGAUAACCUGGAAAGGUACGCUACAGACAUGCCCAAUUUUCCAUGGAAACACAACAUAUAUUUUUCCUAUAGAUUUCAGGUCUUACUCUAAUGAAAGCUAGAAAUUAGUGGCUGUGGCAUACCCAGUGGAGUGAGCUGCAGAGCUCUUAGAAGUGGACAAGGCUGAGAUACUCAACAUUUUUUUUUUUAAAGAUCUUUUAUUUAUUUAUUUGAGAGAGAGAGAGCGCACUCCCGAGCACAUGAGCAGUGGGGAGCGGCAGAGGGAGAGGGAGAAGCAGACUCUCCGCUGAACAGGGAGCCCAAUGCCGGACUCCACCCCAGGAUCCCAGGAUCAUGACCUGAGCUGAAGGCAGAGGCUCAACCAACUGAGCCACACAGGCGCCCCUGAGAUGUUCAACAUUUUAAUGAUGGAGAACUUGUCAUUAUUUUGCAAUGACGCAUUUAAGGCAUGGCCACCAGAGUGAGUGAUCAAGAUUGGGUGAGGAAGAGACAGUUUAGAGGAGGAUCAACCAAACAACUGAGAGAGCAGGAUAAUGGAAGGAUCAUAUAUUGAAUAUACCGAAACCACCAGGAAUUGUGACAGGCAUGUGAGAGGCUCUAGGAGGUAGGAACUAAACUAUUCCAGAAAUGGGGAGACACUUUGGGGCUGGUGUUUGUCUGCAAUAAGGAGUGACACUAGAGGGGCAUGGUCUACCUAUCUUGAUCUCAAACAUUGUUCUUCCACUUUCUAGGUAGGUCUACGAUCUAGAAGUGGCUGAAGGGGGCGACAGAAGCUCCAUAAGAAGGCUGCAUGCAGGGGAAGCACAAAAGCUCAGGGUGCUUUUAGAAGAGACGCAGGCUACUGCGCAAGUCAGUGGUUCAGAGGUUGUGCUUUGGGGAGAAGGUUUUCAGGUACUGAGUCCUUUCUCUCUCGCGUUUUCCAUAUUUUUGUUUGCCACUCUCUUAUAAUCUGCUUUGCUGUUCUUUUCAAAUUUAAAACAUUUUCUAGUGACAAAAGGAACCUGCUCUUUGCUCCUGGUUUUGCACUAGAGGACUUUUUUUUUUUUUUAACGUUAAAAAAUGUGUUGGGAAAAGAAUAAUGUGCAUUGGUUCUAGCACAAGGAUAGACCGAGAUCUAGUAUUUCUCCUUCGUGAGAUGUUUUCUCUGGAAUAAAAUUUGAAUGGCAAAAUCGGGAAAUAGGAAUGCUCAGCAGACAAUGACCACAAACCUCCACCUAGGGAGGAGGUUCUGAGUGGGGACAGCAGUUGGAAGGAAUGGGAGGGGUGGUUGGGACCUGAGUGGAGAGCGCCAGACUGGGGCCGUCAUGACUUGCACGAGGCCCAGAGAGAGGGCUGAAGUCAGAUUUAAAGGAAGUGAAUGGGAAAACAGAGAAGGAGACUAGAGCUCUUUUGAAGAGGAGUCCCAGCUGCAGAUUUUAAAGUGACACCAUGCCAACCUUCUGCCCCACACCCCAAGCUGAACAAAACAAACAAAUGAACUGCAUCUGUAAUCGUGGCUAGUAAGUGAGAAGCAGCUGGGACACCCGCCCCCUUGCCCAGUUGUGCUGGUUUAUAUUUGGGGUCAUGUCAUUGGGACAGUACGUCCUGAUGUUGCAAGGCCGUGGCUGGUCAUAUUGUCUUUAGCUUGCAGGCUGCUGAUGGCGAGAGUGAAGUUUGCCCUAGAGCCCCUGCCCCUGAACCGGGCGGGCACCCCGUUAACUCAGGUGGCAGGGAGGUAAGUGAGGGCCUUCGGCCCCUCCGGGCCCGCGCUGGCACAGCUUACGCGGUGCUUCCCGGCCACGCGGAGGAGGCUCUCACUGGCCCUGCAGCCAAUGGGGACUCUGUCCUGGGAAACAGACAAGCACACAGCUGCCUGGGGGGGUGCCGUGUGCCCACUGGAACCUGCCGUCGCAGGCACAGUGGGCUGAUGCGGAGAUGCUGUGAUCCCAGUAGAGCCAGGAUGGGCUCCCAAGGUGAGGCCAGGCCCAAGCAAGCCUGUGCAGUCAGUGACAUUCGCUUCCUGUCCCCUCCCAAGGCCACUCUUCUCAGGGAGCACGAGGAUCGCCCCCGAGGGAACCCUCGACUUGGGGACGUUCUCUCACCUGGAACACAGACAGGAGCAUGAGCCUGAGGAUCUGGGAUGGUGGCACCAUCUGGCUGCCUCUCACCGUCCCGAGGCUGCUCAGACCCUGUCCCUAGAAAAGACCCAGUGAUCAGCAUGGGGCUAUAGGGCUGGGCCUGUGGUGGAGGCAGUAGGGGUGGGAGGAUGGUGCAAAUCUCCGUGGAGGAUGAAGGCAGAGCUGGCAAAGUCAAAGGUCGUGGUGAUUCCUGGUGAGGCAGCCUGCCAGCCACUCUGCUGGGCCACCUGCCUGUGCCUGGCCCUACCCCUGACAAAUGACCAACAACUAGAAUUACUGGUUAGGAGAUGACAAAUCCCAUGUGGCUUAGCCUGCUCCUGUUUGGGAAGAGUCCCUGGGAGCCACUUGGGAGGGCAUUUUGCAGAAGACAAAGAAUUAGCUCAUGAGAGAGAAAGUGUUGAGGUGAUAGGUAGAGGGUGUGCUCUUGACCUGCGGGCUGGGAGUCACACAGGUUUGUCCUCUGUGCUUUGUCGUCGUGCCUGUACAUGACACGCCAAUGUUAGAGGCAGGGUGAACCCGAAGUCGGGCACUGAUUGUUCUCCACUCUGAGUAGGAGUGACCCCUCCGCCUGGGCGGGUUUCCGGGGGGACACGACCUUGGUUUCCAGGAUGGAGCAGAUGGAGAGUCCCGGGCUUAUCCACACCGAGGCAGGUGCCUUGAUUAGUGUCGGUUCCCAGCCUUCACCAAGGUUCCACGCUCAGCCCUCUCACCCUUUCCAGGUCCUGAGGGCAUUUCAGGACUCGGUUUAAAGGCCAUCUACUCAGUGGGGCCGACUUGCCCUCCCCAUCUGAGCCAGGCCACCCUGUUUCACUCUUUAUAAUCCCAUGGCUUUCUCUUCCUGACAAGAAUCACAACUUGAAAUGCGUUAUUGUGGUAAUGUAUGAGAUUUUAAUUCUGGGGAUUAAGAGUGUUCCUGAAAUAGCCUAUAUCCUAAUGAUAGGGCAGCCCCAGGGCACUCCCCCACAUGGCUUCUCAGGUUAGAAGGCAAAGAAGAAACUGGCCCCCAAAUCCCUUGAGCUACACUUGGAAAUUUCUGGGGACCCCAAGUCCCACAGGGUGUUCUGAGAGCAGGUGUCCCUUUUGAGCACAACCUCAAGCUCUUCUGAGCUGAUUUGCAUUAGACAGAGCUCCAGGCUGCUCUCAGCAUCCUUCAAGGCAGCUGGUCCGGCCCCCUGAGGAGCAGCCUCUAGUCCAGCUCUCAGAGAUGGGGUUCAGGGCUCCCCUGCUGUGGAUCCUGCUGCUCUGGGCUCCAAGUGAGAGGGGGGCAUACGGAGAAAUGGUGGGCAAACCUCACUGUGGCCACGAUGCUUUUGGUGUCUCUGGGUUCUUGGUGGCUGGAAUUCAAGCAUUUGGUAUAGGUUUCCAGUUGCCCAGUUACCUUUCGUCUUCUGGUUCCUCUGAGUGUUGUGCAUGACUUUGACUACAGGGUCCUCAGUGCUGCGGGCCUCCACUGGGUUGCUCUCAGCACAUCUGUUAAAUUUGUUGUGUUUAUCAUUCCAGGCUCCACUGGGGACAUUGUGCUGACCCAGUCUCCGGGCUCUCUGACCAUGUUUCCAGGGCAGAGGGCCACCAUCUCUUGCAAGGCCAGUCAGAAAGUCAGUGACAUUUGGGGCAUUACCCACUACAUGACCUGGUAUCCACAGAAAUCAGGACAGCGUCCUAAAGUCCUGAUUUAUAGAGCAUCCAGUCGAGAGUCUGGGGUCCCAGCCAGGUUCAGUGGCGGUGGGUCUGGGACUGAUUUCAGCCUCACAGUUGAUCCCGCGGAGGCCGGCGACGCUGCCAACUAUUACUGCCUGCAGGGCUCCAGUGCCCAGGACAUCAAAUAUGAAAACUCCUCCCAGGGAGAUGAACUGUUCUCCAGCCUACUGAUUGUGUUUGAUCUGGAGCCAAGACUGAUGGUGUGGUGACUACCGACGGUACAUCAUUCUCAUGGCAAUUUGUAGGAGGGUACAAAAUCCCCCACACAAGCAAACUUAAGUCCAAUUAUUCUGACACAAUUGCAUAUAAUUUUGAUUUAUUCUUAGGUCUUCAUAAUUCUUUAAA